rnacentral:rRNA from 1 species
CUUCGGGCCUUGGCAAAACUUUUGUAAUCCAAACACCAUGCCUAUUGCCAACACAAGAGAUUAUUACAACCAGUAGCGUUGGAUCCCUUGGCACGUCGUUCGAUGAAGACCGUUGCAAAAUGCGAUAAGUGGUGUGAUAUGCAAGUCCAAAACUUAUACGUGAACCAUCGAAUCGUUGAACGCACUGCAUCGAGCCUUACCCAGGAACGAUACGCCCCAUUGAGCGUCAUUAUGUCUUCGCGACAUCGCGUCUUUUUGACUCGGUGUCCGGGUUCGGGAUUCACGGCCGGUCCUCGGUCGCGCUUCCUUAGAUGAAUUGGCUGCGCCGGAGCGAGCGGUGACCUUGUCAUGAAUGUCGAGGUGCAACCGUGUUUCGGUCCGAGCGCAAGAUCCUCCUCUCUGUAGGGUGGGAUCAGAACGCGCGGCCCAGCUGUCGUUGCGACUUCUACACAUGACCUCACGGGGGUGGGACGACCCGCUAGACUUAAGCAUAUUAAUCAGCGGAGGAAAAGAAACUAACAAGGAUUCCCCCAGUAACUGCGAGUGAAGAGGGAUUAGC